UGUUGUCUGAAUGGCCGAGCUUCCAGUGGAUUGUGGGGUUUACUAACAAGCUGAUUGGCUGCUGCUGUGGCGGCCAUGAUUUGUGAAGCGACCGAGUGAGUGGUGUGUAGUCUGCGUGAAGACGACGAACAUUCUCCAGACAACGAUCUCGUGAUGUUUGUGAUUGUUUGAUGGUUGUCUCCAUCUAAGAAAAGUCUAUAUGUCUUUGUUGAGAAGAGAGAGGUCAAAGUCAUGAUACUCCACGCAUAUAUCACAAGUCUACGGGCUCUUCUACGAUUCUUGAAGACUUCUUGACACAACAUUCCAUAACCAGACCUUGUGACGAAAAUACUACUCGGGGGACAGGUGUUCCGCAUCUCUUGGUUGUGGGUCGUAGUUCGUUUUCUGGUCUUCCUCGCUCUAGGUUAUUUGAAAGCAAACCUCAUCUGAUGGCGCUGAGAUUGUGUAGCACUGAGCUUUGACUAUAUAGAGUUACAUCCAAUCAUGCAUCGUGCUAAGGUGGUUUGUUAACCAGCAUGGACUAGUUCACAGUGUAUUUGUGCAUGUAAUUUUAUCCGUUUGGUUUGUAAAAUGCGCUACUUGGGAAACGCAUAAUCCCUGUGGUUUUUUUUUGCUUUUUCACAUUGUUGGGAUAGCUAUACUUGAACUCGCUUGAAUAAUUGCGAUGCAAACUUCUUUGCUAACGAUAUUCAAAGUCGAACUCGAAGACAAUAAUCAUUUGAUGAAGGCUGACCUACGUGAAUGGUGGAAAAAAAGCCUCCCGAAACUAUAAAUAUAGAUAAGUUUUCACCAACUAAAAUUAUGAAUUUGACCCCGUGGUUUUUUUCACGCUCCGAUCAUGAAAGCAAGUUAAACGAACUAGGAAAAGAUUAAGGGUUCGCUCAGGUAUAUUGUACAAUAUUUUAUUCCUAACUAUUUCCUUAUUAAAUCAUUACAUCUUGUCUCAAAUAUACAUCUAACGUCAAACAUAGUUAUAUACUUUUGAUAGCGCAUUCAGCCCAUUGGUCCACUAGUCCAAAUAAAGUAAUCUUAUAAUCUGUUACCUUAACAACUCUUAAAUCUGAACUAAUUAAUGUUCACAAAAUUCUCAUUUUCAGCUGUGACAAACAACUUAAUCCAAUGAAAUAAAACUGGAAAACUUUGAGGAGCAUUAAGAAGGAAAGACUCUCAGAAUCUACAAUCAUGCAGCGAAAGGCAGGCUUUUCCCGGCUCUCAGUCAUCAAAGAGAAAGAGAACAACAAUAAUAAGACUGGUUCAAAAAUUCAAAAUAAAAAAAGAGGCGUCACAACGCCAUUGCUGAAAUUUCAAAAUCUUGUUUCGACUAUAACCAUGACCCGCGCCUUGCUCAACCGAAGUCAAAUACGCAAGCAAAAUACGUGUGAGGACUCAGGCGAGUUUUAUAUGAGCCAUGCUACGUCACCUGACGACGACGAU